rnacentral:rRNA from 1 species
UACGGAGGUGGCAAGCGUUGCUCGGAAUCACUGGGCGUAAAGGGCGCGUAGGCGGGGAGGUAAGUCGGGUGUGAAAUCCCUCUGCCCAACCGAGGAACUGCGCCCGAGACUGCUUCUCUUGAGUCCCGGAGAGGAAGAUGGAAUUCCCGGUGUAGCGGUGAAAUGUGUAGAGAUCGGGAGGAACACCGGUGGCGAAGGCGGUCUUCUGGACGGUGACUGACGCUGAGGCGCGAAAGCGUGGGGAGCAAACGGG